rnacentral:lncRNA from 1 species
AGAUAGAGUUUACUAUAGAUGUACUGCCAGAUACCCAACCUAUAUCUAUACCUUCUUAUAGAAUGGCACCUGCUGAGUUGAAAGAAUUGAAAGAGCAAUUGAGAGAUUUGCUAGAAAAGGGCUUCAAAAGGCCUAGUACGUCACCUUGGGGAGCACCGGUACUGUUUGUGGGAAGAAGGAUGGGUCGUUGCGGAUGUGUAUUAAUUAUAGGAAGCUGACCAAAGUAACAGUAAAGAACAGGUAUCCCCUCCCAAGGAUUGACGAUCUAUUUGACCAGUUGCAGGGUGCUAAGUGUUUUUCAAAGAUAGACUUGCAGCCAGGUUAUCAUCAGGUUUGGGUAAGGGAGGCAGAUAUUCCAAAGAUGACAUUCUGGACCCGAUACGGGCAUUAUGAGUUUAGAGUGCUGUCUUUUGGGCUGACUAAUGCUCUAGCGGUGUUUAUGGAUAUAAUGAAUCGAGUGUUUAAACCAUUCCUUGAUAUGUUUGUUAUUAUAUUUAUAGACGAUAUUCUGGUCUAUUCACAUUCAGAAGAGGAGCAUGCAUACCAUUUAAGGACGGUACUUAGGGUGCUUCAGCACCAGAAGUUGUAUGGUAAGUUUUUAAGUGCGAGUUCUGUUGACUUCAGUGGCAUUCUUGGGGCAUAUUAUUGGAGCUGAUGGUAUUCGGAUAGACACGCAAAAGAUUGAGGCGGUAAAGACUUGGCCCAGACCUACGACACCUACUGAAGUACGUAGCUUUCUGGGGUUUGCAGGAUAUUACAGGAGAUUCGUAGAAAAGUUUGCCUCAAUUUCAGCGCCUUUGACAAGGCUAACUCAUAAGGCAGCCAAGUUCUAGAGGACAGAUGCUUGUGAGCGCAGCUUCCAGCUAUUGAAAGACAAAUUGACUGCACCUCCAGUCCUAACUCUUCUCGAGGGACCAGACGGAUGUGUUAUUUAUUGUGAUGCUUCGGGUGUUGGUCUAGGAUGUGUAUUGAUGUAGCAUGGCAAAGUUAUAGCCUAUGCCUCCUGACAACUUAGGAAGCAUGAAAAAAAUUAUCCUACUCAUGAUCUGGAGUUAGCAGUCGUGGUUCAUGCUUUGAAGAUAUGGAGGCAUUAUUUAUAUGGUGUCGAUGUGGACAUCUAUACAGAUCAUAAGAGUCUCCAAUAAAUCUUUAAACAGAAGGAGAUGAACUUACGACAGAGGCGGUGGUUAGAGUUGCUAAAGGAUUAUGAUGUUGAUAUUUUAUAUCAUCAGGGGAAAGCGAAUGUUGUAGCAGAUUCUCUUAGACGUAAGUCCAUGGGUAGCUUGAUAGAUGUACAACCAGAAAGGAGGGAGAUGGUUCGGGAGAUUCAGCGGCUAUCCAGCCUUGGAGUCCUUUUGGCUAAUUCAAAAGAUAGUGGAGUUUCUAUUCGAAAGGUUGCUGAGUCCUCAAUCAUAGAUGAGGUAAAGAGACACCAAUACGAGGACCCUAUUCUGGCACAGUAUAGAGAUGCAUCUCUUCAAAAGGAAAAGACCCCAUUUAAGGUUACACCUGACAGAGUGUUAUGAUAUGAAGGCAGAUUGUGUGUACCCGAUAUUGCGGGGCUACGACGGCAGGUUAUGGGAGAGGCACACUAUGCCCGUUAUUCUAUUCACCCAGGGUCAACGAAAAUGUAACAUGACCUCAGAUGCUUAUACUGGUGGGAUGGCAUGAAAAAGGAAAUAGCGAAGUUUGUUGCUCAGUGCCCGAAUUGUCAACAAGUCAAGAUCGAACAUCAAAAGCCUGGUGGAUUAUUUUAGGAGAUAGAGAUCCCGACUUGCAAAUGGGAGAUGAUUAAUAUGGACUUCAUUACAGGCUUACCUCACACUCAACGGAAGUAUGACUCUAUAUGGGUUAUUGUAGAUAGGCUGACGAAAUCGGCCCAUUUUCUUCCAGUCGGGACUACUUAUUCGGCUGAAGAUUAUGCGAGGUUGUAUGUCAGGGAGAUAGUGAGACUUCAUGGGGUUCCCACAUCCAUUAUAUCAUACAGAGGAGCUCAAUUUACAGCCAACUUUUGGAGAUCGUUUCAGAAGGGAUUGGGGACACAGGUGAACCUUAGCACAACAUUUCACCCUCAGACUGAUGGGCAGGCAGAGCAUAUUAUUCAGACAUUAGAAGAUAUGUUACGGUCCUGUAUUAUUGACUUCAAAGGUAGAUGGGAUGACCACUUGCCGCUCAUUGAGUUUGACUAUAAUAAUAGCUACCAUUCUAGUAUUCGGAUGGCACCGUACGAGGCCUUAUAUGGGAGGAAGUACAGAUCACCUAUUGGUUGGUUUAAUGUUGGCGAGACUAAGUUAAUAGGCCCGGAUAUGAUUAAGCAAGCUAUUAACAAGGUGAAGUUUAUUCAAGAAAUAUUAUUAGCAUCCCAGAGUCAACAGAAGUCAUAUGCAGAUAAUCGGCGUCGAGAUUUGGAGUUUCAGAUUGGUGACUGGGUAUUCUUGAAGGUAUCACCCAUGAAGGGUGUGAUGAGAUUCGGCAGGAAGGGGAAGCUCAGUCCGAGAUACAUUGGGCCUUAUCAGAUUGUUCGUAGGAUAGGCAAGGUUGCCUAUGAGUUGAAUCUACCAUUUGAUUUGGAGGUGGUACAUCCAGUCUUCAAUGUAUCGAUGCUACGUAAAUGUAUUGGUGAUCCUUCUAGAGUAUUCCUUGUAGAUGAAGUUCAGGUAACAGAGGAGUUGUCAUAUGAGGAGAAACCUGUAGCUAUACUUGAUCGCCAGGUUAGAAGGUUACGUACUAAGGAUGUGGUUUCUGUCAAAGUGUUGUGGCAAAAUAAUAAUAGGGAGGAGAUGACUUUGGAAGCGGAAGAUGAAAUAAAGAAUAAGUAUCCUUACUUGUUCCCCAUACCUGCAGGUAAUUCAAUUCCUAGCUUGACUAUAUUGAUGGAUAAGCGAGAUUAUGUAGUAAGUUGUGACUCUGUGAGGCAUCUGUAAGUUACGAAAUGCAGGUUGAUAGGUAUAACUGUUAGAGAGACCUCGCUGGAAUUUUUUUUGUAGCUCACUUAACAUUCGAGGAUGAAUGUUUCUAUGGGGGGAGGGAUGUUAUGCCUCAUAUUUUUAUACGUAGUGCGCGUCAUGAACUAGUAGAUGUAAGUCCGGGGAUUGAGAUUUUAUUUUAAGUUCCAAGUGAUUAAAGAAAUAUUAGGCAAGGAUGUUAAUUCCAAAUGUGAUAUUAAGUAUGAUUUGGCUAAUGUAAGUGCCAUUAACUUUAAGUGAGGGAUUAAUUUGUGGCUGAUUAGGAUUAAAUUAAUCUAGUGGGCCCCACCACUCAAGGAAAAUUAAAAGGAAUCAGAUUGGGAGCUGGACAUAGUGGGACACGUGUAGAUGGGGGCUGCCUCCACUUCAUAUUAUAAUGAGGUGGUGAAAUGUAUUGAAACAUAUCAUAUUCUUCACCACUUGGCUUAGGCAGCAAUGGAAAUGGAGAAAACCUACCAUGCAACUCUUGGCCAGCAGCUGCAAAGAAUUUGGUUAGUAAUCUUUUUUCUUGGUGUGUAAAUUCCUUAGAAUGCCUUUGUUAAUUAUCCAUUAAUGUUAAGAAGGGGCGUGACCAGUUUCUUAGAAAAUUUGUUUUAGUUGUUGAAUGUGCUAAGUAUGAACGGAAACCAUAAUCGGAUUAUUAGGGUGUCGUAUUAGUGUUUGGGCUGUUUUGAUUAAAGCAAACUGCGGAAAAUUCUAUUUUGGCAUUACGUAUAUGUUUAUGUGAUUAUUGUUAUAUACUCCAAAGGAUGAAUAAGAUAAGGUAGAUGUGUUGCAAAUUAUAAAUCGAGUUAUCGCUGGUGUGUCGUUGCUUCGUUACUACGGUUGCCAAGACGGAACUGUUUUUUUUGGGGGGGGGGCUGUUUAAUAUGAUUCGUUGGGUUAUAUGUGUUAUUGGUAUUGCUGUGGAUAAUUUGGGUUGUUGUCGGAUUGGGACGAAGUAAGGAAAAUAGGAGAAGUGCUGCCAUAUUUUCGUUAGAUUAUUAGCUAGCUUACAAUAAGUAGUAAAGCGCGAUGUUUAUCUAAUUGCGGCACGAUUGUUGCUUGUUAUAGAUUAAUAGCUUGAGAAGUAAAUAUUGGAUGUGCGGCUCGACUAUACGGUAUGUAACGCUAUCCUUUCUUUCUUUUUUUGGCAUGACUUUUAAAAAUGAGCGAAUAACGGACAGGUUUGAGACUUACUUCUAGAGUGUCUAGGUGACGUAUAUUCUUGCUUCCACAACUAUUCCUCUAUAUAUCGGCUAUGUGUAAGGCUAUGGUGAUUUCUCAUAUAUAUGGUAGUGCUUCUUAGAGUCAUUGAGAUCUUACGUUUCCAUAUCGUAUUAAAGGUUCAUAAUCUUGAUAAAACGUUAAUCUUUGGUAAUACUCCUUUCUAGUUCACAUUGAUUAUUCUAUUGAGUUAUAAGAAAUGAUUUUAAUUGCAUAUGGUUGCUCAUAAUAUUCUGCUCGUGCAUAGAGUCAUUUAUUAUUUCACCGAGUCCCGGACCGGGUAAUGUUCGUGCGAAGUUUCUUGCAUAUGUCACUGAGUCCCUAACUAGAUGGCCGGGUAUGUAUAUUAUAUAUAUGAUUGGUGAUGAGGAUGGUUAUGAUGAUGAUGAUGACGGAGAUGAUGUGAUGACUAUUUCACCGAGUCACUCACUAGAGGGUCGGGUACGUAUGAUGUAUAUAUAUGAUGAUUAUUUUGCUGAGUCCCUUACUAGGGAAGCCGGGCACCUUAUAUGUUAAAGAUAUGCAUAAUUUUCACUUAAAAGAUACAUGUGUAGUGAUAUCUUGUUUCGACUUAUCAUGUUGGUAUCCUGUCAUCUUUACCUUAUGCUUUACAUACUCAGUACAAUGUGCGUACUGACCCCCUUUCCUCGGGGGGCUGCGUUUCAUGCCCGCAGGUGUAGACGCACAAUUCGGUGAUCCUCCCGCUAGGAUAUCUACUCUGCUGAUUGGGAGCUCCACUGUUCUGGAGCCCAGUCAUUUUGGUACAUAACUUUUUGUGUAGUCUUUUGUUUGUCUAUGGGUAUGGCGGGGCCCUGUCCUGUCGAGUUUCACUACUAUACUCUUAGAGGUCUGUAGACAUUAUGUGGGUUGCAUAUAUAUGUUUUGGAUAAUGGUCUGGACAUGGUUUGUUUUGGAUGUCCGCUUGUUCAGGGGCAGCCUUGUCAACUGCAUUCAUCACUGUGUAUUGUGUAGUGGCAGCCUCGUCGGCUUGUGUAUGCUAUUAUACUUUGGAUAGUGGCGGCCUUGUUGGCUCGCGUAUGUUGUUACGGUUGAAUGGUUAUGACUACUUAUGAGACAAGUCCACUUUAUAUAUAUAUAUGGCGUUGGGUUUGUCUUGAUUUGAUUAAAUUCCAUAUGUAGUAGUUUCUGUUGGUUAUACUUAGCAGGUUUGUAUGUGAGUGUCCAAAAUAGGAACUAGUCAAGGCCCAUCGUGUUAGAUCGUGACAUUAUAAUUAUUAUUAUUGUUAUUAUUAUUAUUAUUAUUAUUAUUAUUAUUAUUACUAUUAUUAUUAUUAUUAUUAUAACUAUUAUUAUUAUUAUUAUUAUUACUACUACUACUACUACUCUUCAUAUUACUAUUAUUAUUAUUAUUAUUAUUAUUAUUAUUAUUAUUAUUAUUAUUAUUACUAUUAUUAUUACUAUUAUUGUUAGUGUUAUUAUUAUUAUUAUUAUUAUUAUUAUUAUUAUUAGUAUUAGUAUUAGUAUUAUAAUUAUUAUUGUUAUUAUUAUUAUUGUUAUUAUUAUUAUUGUUAUUGUUAUUGUUAUUAUUGUUGUUGUUGUUGUUCUUAUUAUUAUUAUUAUUAUUAUUAUUAUUAUUAUUAUUAUUAUUGUUGUUGUUGUUUUUGUUGUUGUUGUUUGUUGUUGUUGUUGUUGUUAUUUUUAUUGUUAUUAUUAUUAAUAAUAUUAUUAUUAAUAUUAUUAUUAUCAUAAUUAUUAUUUUUUUUUUAUUAUUAUUAUUAUAAUAAUAAUAAUUAUUAUUAUUAUUGUUAUUAUUAUUAUUGUUAUUGUUAUUAUUAUUGUUAUUGUUAUUAUGUCACGACCCAAAUCGAGCCGCGAUUGGCACCCACACUUAUCCUACUAUCUGAGCGAACCAACCAAUCCGAACCCCAACAUUUUAACCAUAAUAAACAGAAUACAACGAGUAAGACUUAAACUCAUUAAUGAAAAUCAAUUAAACAACUUCUAAAAACUCAACAACUAUUAUUAUCCCCAAAAUCUGCAAGUCAUCAUCACAAGAACAUCUAUCCUCAAAUUACUUAGAGUAAGAGUAUCUAAGAAACUAAACAUAAAUAAAAAGCUAGUCCAUGCCGAAACUUCAAGGCAUCAAGACAUGAAGGAGAAGAUCUAGUCCAAGCUAGAAGCAUUAGCUCACCCUGAAAUCCGGUGUAAUGAAGACUGGCUAGAGUUGCGGUUGAGUUGAACUUGACGGUACGUUUGCUGCACUCCACAAAUAACAAAGAAAGAAACACACAAGUAGGGGUCAGUAUAAAACACGGGUACUGAGUAGAUAUCAUCGGCCAACUCAGAAUAGAAAACAGUAUAUAUCAGAUCAUAUCAUAAAUCAACUACAAUACUCAAUCUGUAGCAACAACAGGUACAAGAAUCUUUGAUAAAUAAUUUCAAGUACACUCAUGAGGACUCAAGCCUCCAUAUCAUACUCAUUUGGGAAAUAGGUUCAUUAAAUUGAGUAUAUUAGCAUCUUUUAAGAUUCAUUUUCUUUAUUUCUCCUGUGUCGGUACGUGACACUCCGAUCCUCAUCAUACUAUCCUGGUGUAAGAACGUGACACUCCGAUCCCCUAAUACUAUGUGUCGGAACGUGACACUCUGAUCCCCUAAUUCUACGUGUCGGUUCGUGACACCCGAUCCCUUAAUUCUACGUGUCGGUUCGUGACACCCGAUCCCCUAAUUCUACAUGUCGAUUCAUGACACCCGAUCCCCUAAUUCUACGUGUCGGUUCGUGACACCCGAUCCCCUAAUUUUAUUAAUUCAUCAAGCCUUCUCUUAUACCAAGGCAUCAUCAUCUCAUUACUUUAGUUCAUCAAGCCUUCUUUUAUAUCAAGGCAUCAUCAUUAACAAGGGGUUUUUCAAGAUUGGAGUUUUCAAGAUUUGGGAUUCAAUAGCUUCAUCAUGCUUAUUUUAUCACAAUUAUAGAAUCAUAUUCAUGCAAGCAUACAAUUUAGCAUAUAGAAGACUUUACAACACAACCCAACACAUAUUAUUCGCUAUUAAGAGUUCACUACGAAUAGUAUAAAAACCAUAACCUACCUCCACUGAAGAUUCGUGAUCAAGCAAUUUAUUCCUCAAAGUCUUUGCUUUCUUCUUUCUCUUGAUCGUACGUUUCUCCUCUCUCUUUGUUCUUUCUAUUUUUCUUAUUCAAACCCUCUUUCUUUUACCCAAAUUAGCAUAUAAUUAAGUAUAAAAGAUGAGGACUUAACCCACUAAUUAACUCAAGGUUACCUCUUUUAACCCCCAAGUAAUUGAGUUAUUAAUAUUAAACCACUAACUUUAUAAUUAUAAGCCGGAAUAGUCCAAAACGUCCCUUAAAACAUUUAAAGAAAUUCGACCCCGCCUGGGAUUACGCAGCCUGUGACGGGCCGUCGUGCCUGCGACGGUCCAUCCUGCUGCUCCGUCACAAAGUUCAGAGACUCCAUUCCAUUAAAGGGUCUGUGACGGUCCGUCGUGCCCAGGACGGUCUGUCCUGUCAUUCUGUUACGAAGUUCAGAGAGUCGAUUUCAGUACCCAAUUUUCAGAAUUCUAAGUAUUUUGGAACGAGACACCCUCGACGGUCCGUCGUGUCCAUGACGGUCCAUCGUGGGUUACGUCAUCUCAGCCAGUUUUUCCAGAAAUAAAAUCUGCUGCUCAAAACGACUAAACAGGUCGUUACAAUAGAUACCAAUUUACCCAUCGUUCUUCCCCGAACGAUCACAAGAAGAAAAACAAGGGCGAACAGGAGUACCUGAAUCUGUAAACAGAUGUGGGUAUCUUUCUUGCAUGUCAGCCUCUUUCUCCCAAGUGGCUUCUUUGACUGGUCGAUUCUUCCAUUGAACUUUGAUGGAUGCAAUCUCCCUUAACCUCAGCUUGUGGACUUCUCUAUCUAAAAUAUUAACAGGCUAUUCCUCGUAAGACAAAUUCUCAUCAAGCAAAACUGAAUCCCAACGGAUAAUGUAGUUUCCAUCCCCAUGGUAUCUUUUCAACAUGGACACAUGGAAUACCGGAUGCACUUCGGACAGCCCUGGAGGCAAGGCUAACUCAUAAGCCACCUCCCCUACUCGCUUAAGUACUUCAAAGGGACCAAUAUACCUUGGGCUUAGUUUACCUCUUUUACCAGACCGCAUCACCCCUUUCAUGGGCGAAACCUUCAGUAAGACUUGUUCACCCUCCAUAAACUCUAAGUCUCUAACCUUUCGAUCUGCAUAUUCCUUUUGCCUACUUUGUGCCGCUAAAAGCUUUUCUUGAAUAGAUUUCGCUUUCUCUAAUGAAUCCCUCAAAAGGUCAGUACCCCAAGGUCUAACCUCAAAUGCAUCAAAACAACAAAUGGGAGACCUACAUCUCCUCCCAUACAAUGCUUCAAAUGGGGCCAUAUCAAUACUUGAGUGAUAGCUAUUGUUGUAGGAGAACUCUGCUAAGGGUAAGAAGCUAUCCUAAUGACCACCAAAUUCUAUCACACAUGCACGAAGGAUAUCCUCCAACACUUGAAUUGUUCUCUCAGACUGACCAUCGGUUUGAGGAUGGAACGCAGUACUAAGGUCAAACCUAGUACCCAAUUCCGCAUGCAAUGUUUUCCCAAACUUAGAAGUAAACUGCGUACCUCUAUCUGAUAUAAUGGAGAGUGGAACCCCAUGCAAUCGCACCACUUCCGAGAUGUAAAGUUUGGCUUUCUCUGCAUUGUAAGUCACCUUGACCGGAAUGAAGUGAGCAGACUUAGUUAACCUAUCAACAAUUUCUGAAAUGGAGUCAUACUUACCCAUUGUCUUGGGAAGACCAACCACGAACCAUUGCAAUCCUUUCCCACUUCCAUUCAGGAAUGGGCAUUCUCUGAAGUGUUCUUCUGGGCCUCUGGUGUUCAUACUUUACUUGCUGACAAUUUGGACAUUUGGCAACAAAAUCAACAAUGUCGCGCUUCAUUCUACUCCACCAAAAGUGUUGCUUUAGGUCACGGUACAUCUUGGUUGCACCAGGAUGUAUAGAGUACCUUGAACUAUGAGCCUCUGUCAAAAUAGUGUUGAUCAAAUCAUCAACGCGGGGUACACAUAACCUUCCCUUGAUUCUCAAAACACCUUCCUCAUCGAUUUGCACUUCCUUAGCCUCUCCUCGCAAUACCUUAUCUUGGAUUCUGCUUAGUUUUUCAUCAUCAAACUGUUUUCCCUUAAUCUUGUCAAGAAAAGAAGAUAUUGCCUCCACACAAGCCAACAAUCCUCCCUUCUCAUUUACUUCUAACCUCAUAAAGUCGUUAGCCAGAGUCUGAACCUCUCUAGCCAAUGGACGUCUAGAAACUUGCAAGUGGGCUAGACUUCCCAUGCUCCCUGCCUUUCUACUUAAGGCAUCUGCCAUAACAUUAGCCUUUCCCGGAUGAUACAAGAUAGUGAUAUCGUAGUCCUUCAGUAGUUCCAUCCAUCUCCUCUGUUUCAAUUUCAAAUCUUUUUGAGUAAAGAUAUAUUGUAGGCUACGAUGAUCUGUGUACACUUCACACUUAACCCCAUAUAGAUAGUGUCUCCAUUGCUUUAAGGCAAACACUACCGCAGCUAAUUCCAAAUCAUGGGUCAGAUAAUUACGUUCGUGCAUCUUUAAUUGCCUUGAAGCAUAAGCAAUUACGUUCUUCUCUUGCAUUAGAACUGCACCCAAACCUGAAUAGGAUGCAUCACAAUAGACAAUGAAAUUCUUACCUUCCACUGGCAGGGUAAGAUUGGUGCAGUAGUCAACAAGGUCUUCAGCUUCUGAAAGCUUUCUUCACAUUCAUCCGACCAUACAAAUGGAACAUUCUACUUAGUCAAGUUCGUCAAUUGGGAAGCAAUGGAAGAGUAUCCCUUGACAAAUCGACGGUAGUAGCUAGCUAAACCAACAAAGCUCCUUAUUUCUGAAACAUUAGUAGGUCUUACCCAAUUCUUCACUGUCUCAAUCUUAGAAGGAUCCACCAUCACCCCAUCCUUAGAAACCACAUGCCCCAAGAAGGACACUGCAUCUAGCCAAAACUCACACUUGGAGAAUUUGGCAUAAAGCUUUUUCUCCCUCAACAUUUCCAAUACCAUUCUCAAGUGCUCCUCAUGUUCCUUCUUGCUCUUUGACUAUACCAAUAUAUCAUCAAUAAAUACGAUAACAAAGAGAUCCAAAUAUGGCUUAAAAAUCCCAUUCAUCAAGCUCAUGAAAGCAGCAGGGGCAUUCGUAAGACCAAAAGACAUCACUACAAAUUCGUAAUGCCCAUACCUGGUCCGAAAAGCAGUCUUUGGCACAUCCGUUGCCCAUAUUUUCAAUUGAUGAUAAUCGGAUCUCAAGUCAAUCUUAGAGAAGACACAAGCACCUUGUAACUGAUCGAACAAGUCAUCAAUGCGAGGAAUGGGAUACUUGUUCUUAAUAGUUACCUUGUUCAACUGCCGGUAGUCUAUGCACAUCCGAAAACUCCCAUCCUUCUUCUUCACAAAUAACACCGGAGCACCCCCCAAGGAGAUGCACUUGGUCUAAUGAAGCCUUUGCUCAAAAACUCUUGAAGUUGGGCCUUUAACUCUCUCAACUCCGUGGGAGCCAUUCUAUAAGGGGGUAUAGAAAUGGGGCGAGUACCCGGUUCCAGAUCGAUGCAAAAAUCAAUAUCUCUAUCCGGUGGCAUACCAGGAAGGUCUGCAGGAAACACAUCUAAAAACUCGCGAACUAUCGAAACCGACUCAAUUGGAGGUACUUGGGUAGUAUCAUCCCUAAGAUGUGCCAAGAACGCUAAACAACCCUUACUAACCAUUUUCUUAGCACGAAGAAAGGAGAUGAUACGAACCGGAUUGGAAGUGUAGUUACCCUCCCACACUAACGGAUCUGUCCCAGGCUUGGCUAACGUCACAGUUUUAGCAUUACAAUCCAAGAUUGCAAAAUUCGGAGAAAUCCAAGUCAUACCCAGAAUUACAUCAAAAUCAACCAUUUCUAAGAUAACCAAGUCUACAUAAGUAUUGCUCCCCACAAAAGUCACCAGACCAGACCUAUAUACUUUUUCAACUAUCACAGACUCACCUACCGGAGUAGAAACACGAAUAGGCAUGUCAAGCAAUUCACAUUGUAAAUUAAGACCAUUAGCAAAUGAGGAAGAUACAUAAGAAAAUGUGGAUCCAGGAUCAAACAAUACAGAAGCCGUGCAAUCACAAACCAAAAGAUUACCUGUGAUGACAGCAUGAGAUGUCUCCGCUUCAGAUCUCCCAGGGAAAGCAUAACAAUGGGCCAUAUCCCCUGUCUGCCCGUUGCCCCUACCAUGUUGUGUUGUAGUGGGUCUAGUUUGCUCACCACCACGGCCGUUUUGGUUACCACCAUUACCUCAGCCACCAUGUCUUCCAGAAUAACGGCCUAUACCAUGACCACCUCUACCUCUAGCUAUUGGGAAUAUAUAACUCUGUUUUGGACAAUUCCUCCUAAUAUGUCCAGUCUCCCCACAUCAAUAACACUCCCUGGAUUCAAGCAUAGGUCUCUCAGAGAAGUGUUGAUCGAUCUGAGGUGGACCCCCAACUACAGUCUGUAGUGAAGACUGAAUUGGUCGGACUGAGUAACCUCCUGAACCCUGUCCUCUAUAGUAAGAACCAUUAAACUUACCUCCCUUUCGAAACCUUUUUGAUGUCAUUGCCAUGGUGAAGUCAUCUGGCUUCACUCCCUCUACCUCUAUCACGAAGUCUACCACUUCUUGAAAAGAUUUUGCCGUAGCCGCUACCUGUAAGGCUGAAAUCCGCAAUUCUAACCUUAACCCCUUCACAAAACGGCAAAUCCGCUCUUGUGGACUGAAACAAAGUUGGGUGGCAUACUUGGAUAAUGCACGAAUUAGCCUCAUAUGCGGUAACCGACAUCCUACCUUGCUCUAGGCUCAAGAACUCAUCUCUUUUCAUAUCCCUCAAAGUACGGGGGAUAUACUUCUCCAUAAACAAGCUAGAGAAUGAUGCCCAAGUCAUAGGUGGUGCCUCUGUUGGUUGACACUCAACAUGUGACCGCCACCACAUUUUGGCGUUCCCUUGGAACUGAUAAGUCACAAACUCAACACCAAACCGUUCUACUAUACCCAUCUUGUGUAGUAACUCAUGACAGUCAACCAGAAAAUCGUAGGCAUCCUUAGAUUCAGCACCCUUGAAGACUGGAGGUUUCAAUUUCAAGAACUUACUGAAAAGUUCAUGCUGAUCAUUUGUCAUUAUAGGCCCUGUAGUCAGACGAUGAAACGUGCCUAUUUCCAAUGAGGCAUCCAUGCGGGGAGCCACAGUAGCCGCAUGUUGUACCUCCGGAGCCUGAGGUGCUGGUGCAGAAAACACUGGAGGCGCUUGGCCUUGAUCAGAUAACCCGCUAAGAUAAGCAAGAACCUGAUUGAUCAUCUCUGGGGUA